rnacentral:ncRNA from 1 species
AAUCCAGUUUAUCCUGCUGGCGGCUGCGGCUAUCUGGCCUGCACUUAGACAUGCAAGUCACUCGAAAGAGGGCGAACUGCUCAGUAACACGUAGCUAACCUGCCCUUAGGUCAAGGAUAACCUCGGGAAACUGAGGCUAAUACUUGAU